rnacentral:rRNA from 1 species
UACGUAGGCAGCGAGCGUUGUUCGGAGUUACUGGGCGUAAAGCGUGCGUAGGCGGUCCCACAAGUCUGUUGUGAAAUCUCCCGGCUCAACUGGGAGGGUGCGGUGGAAACUGUGGGGGCUGGAGUAUGGGAGAGGAAAGCGGAAUUCCUGGUGUAGCGGUGAAAUGCGUAGAUAUCAGGAGGAACACCUGCGGUGUAGACGGCUUUCUGGACCAUUACUGACACUGAGACACGAAAGCGUGGGUAGCAAACAGG